AGAGACUGGGAUAACACCUGGAAACAGAUGCUAAUACCGGAUAACAACACUAGACGCAUGUCUAGAGUUUGAAAGAUGGUUCUGCUAUCACUCUUGGAUGGACCUGCGGUGCAUUAGCUAGUUGGUAAGGUAACGGCUUACCAAGGCAAUGAUGCAUAGCCGAGUUGAGAGACUGAUCGGCCACAUUGGGACUGAGACACGGCCCAAACUCCUACGGGAGGCAGCAGUAGGGAAUCUUCCACAAUGGACGAAAGUCUGAUGGAGCAACGCCGCGUGAGUGAAGAAGGGUUUCGGCUCGUAAAGCUCUGUUGGUAGUGAAGAAAGAUAGAGGUAGUAACUGGCCUUUAUUUGACGGUAAUUACUUAGAAAGUCACGGCUAACUACGUGCCAGCAGCCGCGGUAAUACGUAGGUGGCAAGCGUUGUCCGGAUUUAUUGGGCGUAAAGCGAGUGCAGGCGGUUCAAUAAGUCUGAUGUGAAAGCCUUCGGCUCAACCGGAGAAUUGCAUCAGAAACUGUUGAACUUGAGUGCAGAAGAGGAGAGUGGAACUCCAUGUGUAGCGGUGGAAUGCGUAGAUAUAUGGAAGAACACCAGUGGCGAAGGCGGCUCUCUGGUCUGCAACUGACGCUGAGGCUCGAAAGCAUGGGUAGCGAACAGGAUUAGAUACCCUGGUAGUCCAUGCCGUAAACGAUGAGUGCUAAGUGUUGGGAGGUUUCCGCCUCUCAGUGCUGCAGCUAACGCAUUAAGCACUCCGCCUGGGGAGUACGACCGCAAGGUUGAAACUCAAAGGAAUUGACGGGGGCCCGCACAAGCGGUGGAGCAUGUGGUUUAAUUCGAAGCAACGCGAAGAACCUUACCAGGUCUUGACAUCCAGUGCAAACCUAAGAGAUUAGGUGUUCCCUUCGGGGACGCUGAGACAGGUGGUGCAUGGCUGUCGUCAGCUCGUGUCGUGAGAUGUUGGGUUAAGUCCCGCAACGAGCGCAACCCUUGUCAUUAGUUGCCAUCAUUAAGUUUGGGCACUCUAAUGAAGACUGCCGGUGGACAAACCGGAGGAAGGUGGGGAUGACGUCAAGUCAUCAUGCCCCUUAUGACCUGGGCUACACACGUGCUACAAUGGACGGUACAACGAGAAGCGAACCUGCGAAGGCAAGCGGAUCUCUUAAAGCCGUUCUCAGUUCGGACUGUAGGCUGCAACUCGCCUACACGAAGCUGGAAUCGCUAGUAAUCGCGGAUCAGCACGCCGCGGUGAAUACGUUCCCGGGCCUUGUACACACCGCCCGUCACACCAUG
rnacentral:rRNA from 1 species